ACCAUCCUUCUCGUGGGGUUGUGCUACUGUCCAGUGAGCACAUGGUGAGAGCAAUACUGCUAACGCCUACGCAACACACCCACAUCAACUACAGUGGUGCAAUUUUUUGAAAA
rfam:Chlorocebus sabaeus isolate 1994-021 chromosome 11, whole genome shotgun sequence.